ACCUUAGAGAUGCCGGAUACUUCAACGGGAGUCAUGAGCAUCAAUGCCUAUUGAGAUAUUGCUUUGGUGAUGUUAUUCAGAAGGACUUGGAUGAGUGUGUGAGACUGUGGAACAGCCACAGGAUUCACCCUUCCAGAACAGCAGCAUGUCCAGGAGGAGUGCCCAAUGAACUCUACUACUUACCACACAGGUUUGGCUCCAGAGACUGCGGAUUUCAAAGUGAACAAGCUGAACUGGAUGCCCUUCCUGAGGCUAGCCUGUCAAUGACUCCUUGUGGGGACCCAAACAUGCAGGAGUACUUGGACUUUGCCAUGGAACACAAUCAGUUACAGAAGCCAGACAACUGGGAGUCUGCAUCCGAACUGUACAUGAAACUAAAAGAAAUGGCUCAGCUAUGAAAUGAUCAAAAAGGGAGGGUUUUUUGUAGUGGUGGAAUACUGCUGUCUGUCUGAACACAAUAUUUAUGAAUCUGUCACCCAAAGCUUAAUUGUUUUUAAGUGUGAAGUAAAUUAAUCAAAAAUAGUAA